rnacentral:rRNA from 1 species
AUUGAACGCUGGCGGCACGCCUAACACAUGCAAGUCGAGCGGCAGCGAGACUAGUAGCAAUACUAGUUGUCGGCGAGCGGCGGACGGGUGAGUAACACGUAGGAAUCUGCCCUUAAGCGGGGGAUAACCAAGGGAAACUUUGGCUAAUACCGCAUAUCUCGAGAGAGCAAAGCUGCCCGCAAGGGUGGCACUUGAGGAGGAGCCUGCGUCCGAUUAGCUAGUUGGUGGGGUAAUGGCCUACCAAGGCGAUGAUCGGUAACUGGUCUGAGAGGGCGACCAGUCACACUGGGACUCAGACGCGGCCCAGACUCCUAAGGGAGGCAUCAGUGGUGAAUAUUGGACAAUGGUGGCAACCCUGAUCCAGCGAUGCCGCGUGAGUGAAGAAGGCCUUCGGGUCGUAAAGCUCUUUAGGUUGGGAAGAAGGGUAUUGGCUGAAUAAUCCAGUACUUUGACGGUACCGACAGAAUAAGCACCGGCAAACUCUGUGCCAGCCGCCGCGGUAAUAC